UACAGAGGGGGCAAGCGUUGUCCGGAAUCAUUGGGCGUAAAGCGCGUGUAGGCGGCUUGGUAAGUCCGGUGUGAAACCUUGGGGCUCAACCCCAAGCCUGCACUGGAUACUGCCUCGCUUGAGUCCGGGAGGGGAGAGCGGAAUUCCUAGUGUAGCGGUGAAAUGCGCAGAUAUUAGGAAGAACACCGGUGGCGAAGGCGGCUCACUGGACCAUAACUGACGCUGAGGCGCGAAAGCUAGGGGAGCAAACAGG
rnacentral:rRNA from 1 species